rnacentral:rRNA from 1 species
UACGUAGGGGACGAGCGUUGUCCGGAUUUAUUGGGCGUAAAGAGCGUGUAGGCGGUUUGGUAAGUCUGUGGUGAAAUCCUGAGGCUCAACCUCGGGCGUGCGAUGGAUACUGCCGGGCUAGAGGGUGGUAGAGGCGAGUGGAAUUCCCGGUGUAGCGGUGAAAUGCGCAGAUAUCGGGAGGAACACCAGUAGCGAAGGCGGCUCGCUGGGCCGCAGCUGACGCUGAGACGCGAAAGCUAGGGGAGCGAACAGG